UAAUUGUUUCUUUAACAUUCACCAAGGCCUUCUUGGUCAUUGCACCGACAGCUGGAGAUCCGAGGUGUUGAUCACUCAGCAUCGCCUCCUCCACGGUCACCUGAGAACAGAUUCCAGGACCCAGGGGAGGGUUGCGGCUAAUGAGCAGAAGCUCGAUGUCAGACUUCUGGAUCAUCGGACCCAGGGUCUCUGCCGGCCACUCUGAAUUAAGCGCUCCUGUUCACAGGCAGAUGGUGCAGACCGUGCCCCUGGGGCUCAGGCAGGUCCAGAGAGAGGAGAGAGCAGAGAGCAGGCCCCGGCCUUUUCUUGUAGUACUCUUGCCCCUCCGCCCCUCCGUCCCCCCGCCCCCACCACCUCCGGGUGCAGUCGGACUCCCGAGCUUCGCGCUUCGCAUCGGAUAAAUCACUGCACCUCUUGGGAGCUCAGGGAAUGAGGGCCUGCGCAGCCGGGCCAAGGGCACCAGGACUUUGAUCCCCCUGGCUGCCUCGAGGAACGCAGGCCUCUGAGGGUCGGAACUGGACUGGGAGGCUGGUCAGCAGGCUCCUGCUGUCCUCUGUUGGGAGGUGACAGUGGCUAAGACUGGCAUGGAGGCAGCGAGGUGGUGGUAAGUGACAAAUUGUGUGUGUGUGUGUGUGUGUGUCUUUUUUUUUUAAUUUUUAAAUUUUUAUUUAUUUAUUUUUGAGACGGAGUCUUGCUCUGUCACCCAGGCUGGAGUGCAAGAUCUCGGCUCACUGCAACCUUCGCCUCCCGAGUUCAAGCAGUUCUCUUGCCUCAGGCUCCCAAGUAUCUGGGAUUAUAGGCGCUUGCCACCAUGCUCUGCUAAUUUUUGUAUUUUUAGUAGAGACAGGGUUUCACCACCUUGGCCAGGCUGGUCUCCAACUCCUGACCUCAGGUGAUCCGCCCGCCUCAGCCUCCUAAAAUGUUGGGAUUACAGGUGUGAGCCACCGCACCCAACCUAGAUUCUGGGUAUAUUUGUAUAUAUUUUGAGUGCAAAGCUGAUGGGAUUGACUGACAGGUGGGAUGUAUGGGAGUGGGAGAGAAGCCAAGGAAGAGCCAAGGCUGAUUAGUUGGUUUAUUUAUUCGGGUAAAAUUCACAUAAUGUUAAUUUAACCAUUUUAGAGUGUAUUCAGAGGUAUUUAGUACCUUCACAGUGUUGUUCCAUCAUCGCCUCUGUCUCAUCCCCAAACAUUUCCAUCAGCCUGAAAGGAAAACUUUGUAUGCAUUAAACAGUCACUCCUUCUUCCCCCUCCCGGAGCCCCUGACAAGCAUGAAUCUGCUUUCUGUCUCUAUGGAUUUACCUAUUCUGGUAAAUCACUUAGCAUAAUGUCUUCAAAUUUCAGCUAUGUGGUAGCAUGUGUCAAUUUCCUUCCUUUUUAAGGCUGAAUAAUAUUCCACUGUAUGGCUAGACCACAUUUGUUUAGUCAUUCAUCUAUCCAUGGAGAUGGGUGUUGUUUCCAUGUUUUAGCUACUGUGAAUAGUGCUGCUGUGAACAUUCAUGUACAAGUUUCUCUUUGAACACCUGUUUUUUUCCCUUUUAUUUACUUAUUUAUUUAUUUUGAGACAGGGUCUCUUUCUGUUGCACAGGCUGGGGUGCAGUAGCAUGAUCUCAGCUCACUGCAGCCUCCACCUCCCGACCCAAGUGAUUCUUUUUUUUUUUUUUUUUUGAGUUUCGCUCCUGUUGCCCAGGCUGGAGUGCAAUGGCACGAUCUUGGCUCAUCACAACCUCCGCCUCCCAGGUUCAAGCGAUUCUUCUGCUUCAGCCUCCCGAGUAGCUGGGAUUACAGGCAUGUGCCACCACUCCCGGCUAAUUUUGUAUUUUUAGUAGAGACGGGGGUUUCUCUAGGUUGGUCAGGCUGGUCUUGAACUCCUGACCUCAGGUGACCGGCCACUUCAGCCUCCCAAAGUGCUGGGAUUACAGGCGUGAGCCAUCGAGCCCAGCCCCCAGGUGAUUCUUUUACCUCAGCCUCUUGAGAGCUGAAACCAUGGACAUGUGCCAACACACCUGGCUAGUUUUUUAAUUUUUUGUACAGACAGAGUUUUGCCAUGUUGCCCAGGCUGGUCUCGAACCCCUAGGCUCAAGUGAUUGCCCUACCUCAGCCUCCCAAAGUGCUGGGGUUACAGGCUUGAGCCACUGUGCCUGGCCUGAACACCUGUUUUCAAUUCUUUGGGGUAUGUAUACACAGGAGUAAAACUGUAGGAUGGUAUAGUAAUUCCAUGCUUAACUUUGCGAGGAACGGCCAAGCUGUUCUCCACAGCAGCAGUACCAUUUGACAUUCCCAUCAGCAAGGUACAAGGGUUCCUCUUUUUCCAUAUCCCCGCCAACACUUGCUAUUGUCUGUGUGUGUUUUUUUAAAUUAUAGCCAUCCUGGAGGGUGGGCGGUGGUAUCUCAUUGCAGGUUAGAUUUGCAGUCCCUAAUGACUAAUGAUGGUGAGCAUCUUUUCAUGUGCUUCUUGGCCAUUUGUGGAGCCAAGGGGCUUAACCUGAGCAACCAGAGGAAGGAUGGAGCUGCAAAGAAGCAAGAUGGGGAACGUGGAGGGAGAGGAGGUCGGUUUGACAGGCUGAGUUUGAUGUCCCCAAAUGGAGAGGUCCAACUGUUGGAGGCCUGUGAACCAGAGCGACUCCAUGUUGAAUAGGAGCUGUGUAAAAUGAGGCUGAAACCUCCUGAGCUGCAUUCCCAGACAGUUAAGGCACUCUAAGUCACAGGAUGAGAUAGGGGUCAGCACAAGAUACAGGUCCUGAAGACCUUGCUGAUAAAACAGGUUGCACUAAAGAAGCUGGCUAAAACCCACCAAAACCAAGAUGACCACAACAGUGACCUCUGGUUGUCCUCACUGCUCCAAUCCUAUCAGCGCCACGACAGUUUACAGAUGCCAUGGCAAUGUCAGGAAGUUACCCUAUAUGGUCUAAAAAGGGGAGGCAUGAAUAAUCCAUCCCUUGUUUAGUAGAUCAUCAAGAAAUAACCAUAAAAAUAGGCAACCAGCAGCCCUUGGGGCUGCUCUGUCUAUAGAGUAGCCAUUAUUUUAUUCCACGACAUUUUUUUUUUUUUUUGAGACGGAGUCUCGCUGUGUCGCCCAGGCUGGAGUGCAGUGGCGUGAUCUUGGCUCACUGCAACAUCCACCUCCCAGGUUUAAGUGAUUCUCCUGCCUCAGCCCCCCAAGUAGCUGGGAUUACAGGUGCCCGCCACCAUACCUGGCUAAUUUUUCUUUUUUUUCUUGUUUUUUUGAGACGGAGUCUCACUCUGUUGGCCAAGCUGGAGUGCAGUGGCGCGAUCUCGGUUCAUGGCAACUUCCACCUCCCAGGUUCAAGCGAUUCUCCUGCCUCAGCGUCCCGAGUAGCUGGGACUACAGGUGCAUGCCACCAUGCCCAGCUAAUUUUUUGUAUUUUUAGUAGAAACGGAUUUCAACAUGUUGGCCAGGCUGGUUUCACACUCCUGACCUCAGGUGAACUGCCCGCCUCGGUCUCCCAAAGUGCUGGGAUUACAGGCAUGAGCCACUGCCCCCGACCUAAUUUUUGUAUUUUUAGUAGAGAUGGGGUUUCACCAUGUUGGCCAGGCUGGUCUCGAACCCCUGACCUCAGGUGAUCCACCCACCUCGGCCUCCCAAAGUGCUGGGAUUACAGGCGUGAACCACUGCGCCUGGCCAAUUUUUUGUAUUUUUAGUAGAGACGGGGUUUCACCAUGUUGGCCAGGCUGGUCUUGAACUCCUGACGUCGUGAUUCGCCUGCCUCGGCCUCCCAGAGUGCUGGGAUGACAGGCGUGAGCCACCACGCCUGGCCUAUUCCUCUACUUUCUUAAUAAACUUGCUUUCACUUUACGGACUCACCCUGAAUUCUUUCUUGCAUGAGAUCCAAGAACCCUC
rnacentral:lncRNA from 1 species